UACGUAGGGGGCGAGCGUUGUCCGGAUUUAUUGGGCGUAAAGAGCUCGUAGGCGGUUGGGUAAGGCGGGGGUGAAAACUCAGGGCUCAACUCUGAGACGCCACUCGAUACUGCCCUGACUCGAGUCCGGUAGGGGAGCGUGGAAUUCCCGGUGUAGCGGUGAAAUGCGCAGAUAUCGGGAGGAACACCAGUAGCGAAGGCGGCUCGCUCGGCCAUUCCUGACGCUGAGACGCGAAAGCUAGGGGAGCGAACAGG
rnacentral:rRNA from 1 species